UGCAAGUCGAACGAAGAGCGACGGAAGCUUGCCUCUAUCAAUCUUAGUGGCGAACGGGUGAGUAACGCGUAAUCAACCUGCCCUUCAGAGGGGGACAACAGUUGGAAACGACUGCUAAUACCGCAUACGAUCUAAUCUCGGCAUCGAGGAUAGAUGAAAGGUGGCCUCUACAUGUAAGCUAUCACUGAAGGAGGGGAUUGCGUCUGAUUAGCUAGUUGGAGGGGUAAUGGCCCACCAAGGCGGUGAUCAGUAGCCGGUCUGAGAGGAUGAACGGCCACAUUGGGACUGAGACACGGCCCAGACUCCUACGGGAGGCAGCAGUGGGGAAUCUUCCGCAAUGGACGAAAGUCUGACGGAGCAACGCCGCGUGAGUGAUGACGGCCUUCGGGUUGUAAAGCUCUGUUAAUCGGGACGAAAGGCCUUCUUGCGAAUAGUUAGAAGGAUUGACGGUACCGGAAUAGAAAGCCACGGCUAACUAUGUGC
rnacentral:rRNA from 1 species